rnacentral:rRNA from 1 species
AGCUCCAAUAGCGUAUAUUAAAGUUGUUGCAGUUAAAAAGCUCGUAGUUGAAUUUCUGGCUGGAAGGGAGCGGUCCCGCAUCUUUGUGGGUACUUGCUCGUCUUCUGCCAUCCUUGGGCUUAGUCUCGCUGAUAUUAACUUAUCGGCGUGUACGAUGCCCAUCGUUUACUGUGAGCAAAUUAGAGUGUUCAAAGCAGGCUUAUGCCGUUGAAUAUAUUAGCAUGGAAUAAUAAGAUAGGACCUAGUGACUAUUUUGUUGGUUUGCGUUAUUAGGUAAUGAUUAAGAGGGACAGUUGUGGGUAUUCGUAUUCAGGUGUAAGAGGUGAAAUUCUUAGAUUAUCGGAAGACGAACGACUGCGAAAGCAUUGACCAAGGAUGUUUUCAUCA